CUUCACGCCCAGGUGGAUGCGCAGGUGCUGGGCCAAGUAGGAGGCGUUGGCGAAGGAUUUGGAGCAGUGCGGGCACUUGUGGGGUUUGGCCUCUGUGUGCGACUUGGAGUGGAUCUGCAUCUCCGACUUGGUGAAGAAGAACCAAGUUGUCCAGCUGGGACGAGGAAAGCAAGACGCACACGUCACUGCCAGAGGCACGGGAGCACAGCAGGUACCGGCCCCACGGGGAAGCUGCCAGCCCUGGCGCAGCGCAGGUUCAUAACACACCACCCACUGCCUGUCUGCCCUGAACGAAUUCUCUCUCUCCCCCUCUCAGUCGUAAGUUCCUCCCUGCAAGGAGGCAGCCAUGGGAGUGACCUGAUACCCGCAUGGA